UGCUCGAGUGGCGAACGGGUGAGUAACACGUGAGUAACCUGCCCUUGACUUUGGGAUAACUUCAGGAAACUGGGGCUAAUACCGGAUAGGAGCUCCUGCUGCAUGGUGGGGGUUGGAAAGUUUCGGCGGUUGGGGAUGGACUCGCGGCUUAUCAGCUUGUUAGUGGGGUAGUGGCUUACCAAGGCUUUGACGGGUAGCCGGCCUGAGAGGGUGACCGGCCACAUUGGGACUGAGAUACGGCCCAG
rnacentral:rRNA from 1 species